AGAGUUURAUCAUGGCYCARGACRAACGCUGCSGCGCGCUUAACACAUGCAAGUCGAGCGAGAACCAGUCUUCGGGACUGGGRAAAGCGSCGAACGGGUGAGUAACACGUGGGUAACCCACCCUUGGUACCGGGAUAGCCCGAGGAAACUCGGAUUAAUACCGGAUGGCCCAACAGCUCUUCGGGGCGGUUGGAAAAGGUAGCUUCGGCCUCCGACCAAGGACGGGCCCGCGGCGGAUUAGCUUGUUGGUGGGGUAAUGGCCUACCAAGGCGACGAUCCGUAGCUGGUCUGAGAGGACGAUCAGCCACACUGGGACUGAGACACGGCCCAGACUCCUACGGGAGGCAGCAGUGGGGAAUCUUGCGCAAUGGGCGAAAGCCUGACGCAGCGACGCCGCGUGGGGGAAGAAGGCUUUCGGGUUGUAAACCCCUUUCAGGAAGGACGAAGCCACUCGGGUUAAUAGCCCAGAGGGUGACGGUACUUCCAGAAGAAGCCCCGGCUAACUACGUGCCAGCAGCCGCGGUAAU
rnacentral:rRNA from 1 species